UACAGAGGUCUCAAGCGUUUGUUCGGAUUCAUUGGGGCGUAAAGGGUGUGUAGGUGGCGCCGUAAGUCGGGUGUGAAAUUUCGGAGCUUAACUCCGAAACUGCAUUCGAUACUGCGGUGCUUGAGGACUGGAGAGGGUAGCAGAAAUUCAUGGUGUAGCAGUGAAAUGCGUAGAUAUCAUGAGGAAUACCAGAGGCGAAGGCGGCUACCUGGACAAUUGCUGACGCUCAGGCACGAAAAGCGUGGGGGAGCAAAAGGG
rnacentral:rRNA from 1 species